rnacentral:rRNA from 1 species
CCUACGGGUGGCAGCAGUGAGGAAUAUUGGUCAAUGGGAGAGAUCCUGAACCAGCCAAGCCGCGUGAGGGAAGACGGCUCUAUGGGUUGUAAACCUCUUUUGUCGGAGAACAAAACCCGGGACGAGUCCCGGACUGCGCGUAUCCUAAGAAAAAGGAUCGGCUAACUCCGUGCCAGCAGCCGCGGUAAUACGGAGGAUGCGAGCGUUAUCCGGAUUUAUUGGGUUUAAAGGGUGCGUAGGCGGUCUUUUAAGUCAGCGGGUAAAGGCCGGGGCUCAACCCCCGGACGGCGGUUGAAACUGGCAGUCUCGAGUUGGAGAGAAGUAUGCGGAAUGCGCGGUGUAGCGGUGAAAUGCAUAGAUAUCGCGCAGAACUCCGAUUGCGAAGGCAGCAUGCCGGCUCCACACUGACGCUGAGGCACGAAAGCGUGGGUAUCGAACAGGAUUAGAUACCCUUGUAGUC